GGAUCAAUAUGUUGGUCGUGCCUUGGUACGUACUAGUUUAUUGGUUUCUUCCUUCUGACGAACCAUGAUGUCAUUUAUUUGGUGUUGUGGGGAAUCAGGACUGUUACUUUGAAAAAUUAGAGUGUUUAAAGCAGGCUUUCGCUUGAAUACAUUAGCAUGGAAUAAUGAAAUAGGACGUUUGAUCCUAUUUUGUUGGUUUCUAGGAUCGACGUA
rnacentral:rRNA from 1 species